rnacentral:ncRNA from 1 species
GGGGAUAUGGCGAAAUUGGUAGACGCUACGGACUUGAUUGGAUUGAGCCUUGGUAUGGAAACAUACUAAGUGAUAACUUUCAAAUUCAGAGAAACCCUGGAAUUAAAAAUGGGCAAUCCUGAGCCAAAUCCUGUUUUCAGAAAACAAACAAAUAAAGGGUUUGGAAAGCAAGAAUAAAAAAGGAUAGGUGCAGAGACUCAAUGGAAGCUAUUCUAACGAAUAGAGUUGACUGCGUUGCGUUGAUUGAGGAAUCCUUCUAUUUAAACUCCAGAAAGGAUGAACCCAUAUACGUACAUAUACAUAAUAAAAUAUCAAAGAUUAAUGGCGGUUCGAAUCUUUAUUUAUUUUUUUUUAUGCAAAAUUGAAGGAUUCUUGUGAAUCGAUUCCAAGUUUAAAUAAGAAUCGAAUAUUCACUGAUCAAAUCAGUCACUCCAUAGUCUGAUAGAUCUUUUAAAGAACUAACUAAUUCGACGAGAAUAAAGAUAGAGUCCCAUUAUACAUGUCAAUACCGACAAAAAUGCAAUUUAUAGUAAGAGGAAAAUCCGUCGACUUUUUAAAUCGUGAGGGUUCAAGUCCCUCUAUCCCCA